GAUGAACGCUGGCGGCGUGCCUAAUACAUGCAAGUCGAGCGAACGGAUGAGAAGCUUGCUUCUCUGAUGUUAGCGGCGGACGGGUGAGUAACACGUGGAUAACCUACCUAUAAGACUGGGAUAACUUCGGGAAACCGGAGCUAAUACCGGAUAAUAUUUUGAACCGCAUGGUUCAAAAGUGAAAGACGGUCUUGCUGUCACUUAUAGAUGGAUCCGCGCUGCAUUAGCUAGUUGGUAAGGUAACGGCUUACCAAGGCAACGAUGCAUAGCCGACCUGAGAGGGUGAUCGGCCACACUGGAACGGAGACACGGUCCAGACUCCUACGGGAGGCAGCAGUAGGGAAUCUUCCGCAAUGGGCGAAAGCCUGACGGAGCAACGCCGCGUGAGUGAUGAAGGUCUUCGGAUCGUAAAACUCUGUUAUUAGGGAAGAACAUAUGUGUAAGUAACUGUGCACAUCUUGACGGUACCUAAUCAGAAAGCCACGGCUAACUACGUG
rnacentral:rRNA from 1 species